rnacentral:rRNA from 1 species
GUGAGGAAUUUUCCGCAAUGGGCGAAAGCCUGACGGAGCAAUGCCGCGUGAAGGAUGAAGGCCUAUGGGUUGUAAACUUCUUUUCUCAGAAAAGAAUUAUGACGGUAUCUGAGGAAUAAGCAUCGGCUAACUCUGUGACAGCAGCCGCGGUAAGACAGAGGAUGCAAGCGUUAUCCGGAAUGAUUGGGCGUAAAGCGUCUGUAGGUUGUUUAAAAAGUAUUCUGUCAAAGAUUAGGGCUUAACCCUAGAUAGGCAGAAUAAACUUUUAAGCUAGAGUUUGGUAGAGGCAGAAGGAAUUCCCGGUGGAGCGGUGAAAUGCGUAGAUAUCGGGAGGAACACCAAAGGCGAAGGCACUCUGCUGGGCCAAUACUAACACUGAGAGACGAAAGCGAGGGGAGCAAAUGGGAUUAGAUACCCGGGUAGUCC